rnacentral:rRNA from 1 species
UAGAGUUUUUNAUCUUGGCUCAGGAUAAANGCUGGCGGCGUGCCUAAUACAUGCAAGUCGAGCGAACAGAUAAGGAGCUUGCUCCUUUGACGUUAGCGGCGGACGGGUGAGUAACACGUGGGUAACCUACCNAUAAGACUGGGAUAACUUCGGGAAACCGGAGCUAAUACCGGAUAACAUUUGGAACCGCAUGGUUUUAAAGUGAAAGAUGGUUUUGCUAUCACUUAUAGAUGGACCCGCGCCGUAUUAGNUAGUUGGUAAGGUAACGGCUUACCAAGGCNACGAUACGUAGCCGACCUGAGAGGGUGAUCGGCCNCACUGGAACUGAGACACGGUCCAGACUCCNACGGGAGGCAGCAGUAGGGAAUCUUCCGCAAUGGGCGAAAGCCUNACGGAGCAACAGCCGCGUGAGUGAUGAAGGGUUUCGGCUCGUAAAACUCUGUUAUUAGGGAAGAACAAAUGUGUAAGUAACUGUGCACGUCCUUGUACGUGUACCUAACCA